AGAGUUUGAUCCUGGCUCAGGAUGAACGCUGGCGGCGUGCUUAAUACAUGCAAGUCGAACGGAGACAGUAGCAAUACCUUUAGUGGCGAACGGGUGAGUAACGCGUUGGUGACCUGCCCCGAAGCGUGGGAUAACAGUCCGAAAGGACUGCUAAUACCGCAUAUAGUCCAAGAGAUUAGAGGCUUAUGGACGAAAGGAGACAUUCACUUCGGGAGGGGCCUGCGUCCCAUCAGCUAGUUGGUAGGGUAACGGCUUACCUAGGCGAUGACGGGUAGGGGACCUGAGAGGGUGGCCCCCCACAAUGGAACUGAAACACGGUCCAUACACCUACGGGUGGCAGCAGUAGGGAAUAUUGCAAAAUGGGCGAAAGCCCGAUGCAGCAACGCCGCGUGGGCGAUGAAGGCCUUCGGGUCGUAAAGCCCUUUUUGAGGGGAUGAGGAAGGACAGUACCCUCAGAAUAAGCCUCGGCUAACUACGUGCCAGCAGCCGCGGUAAAACGUAGGAGGCGAGCGUUAUCCGGAUUUACUGGGCGUAAAGCGCGUGCAGGCGGAUUGGAGAGUUGGAUGUGAAAGCUCCCGGCUUAACUGGGAGAGGUCGNUCAAUACUUCCAGUCUUGAGUGCAGUAGAAGGGAAGUGGAAUUNCNGGUGUAGUGGUGAAAUGCGUAGAUAUCCCGGAGGAACACCAGUGGC
rnacentral:rRNA from 1 species